UAGAACCAAGACAGUGGCAGUGUGUGUCUGUCUGUCUUUGGUUAAGGAUAUUUUUAAGAUACUACCUUGUUGUGUUAACAUUAUUUUGCUAUUUCUGACAGGCAGAGGCAGUUUUCUGAAGGAUGGUUAAUGUCAGUAUCAACAUGUUGUGAUGGAGGCUUCCACCUGAGCUGAACACAGAAACUUGCACACAGUGAUGGAAGCAGUCGUUCCUGUUCAGCAUUGAUAUGCCGGUAAUGGGUUUGAUGAGCCACAGCGUGGUGAUGGGCAAUCAGCAUCAGGACCAGGGCCGCUCACAAGGAGAACCUCCUGCCCUGCCUCUUCAUCCUCAACCUCCAAUCUUCCUGCUCUUCACACAUGUGCAGGCACAGAGCCAGUUUUCAGAGGGAGGGCUGAUGACA